UGUAUUCAGCCCUGCAAAACAAAUAUCAACUUCAACUACAUACUUCCAUAAACCAUGUGACAGUAUGAUCUUUUUCUUUCUCUGCGUUCCUGUCAGUGCCCAUUGAUAAAUUAAUCGCAGAGGUGAAAUGGAGUGCUGUUAUUCCUUCAAACUACCAUCUCCAUACCCUUCUUUAAUCCUUAACCUUCAGGUGUGAUAGUAAGCGAGUGUCUGCGUGUUUCUCUCCUACCAUAUUCUUUUUCUUGAUCACUGGUGGUUGAUACGUCUGGUUCUUCAUCACCUGUUGGUAGCAGAUUUUCCAAAAACUCUAUUCAUCCUCAUUUGCUAUCCUCUCCACUUCCUAAACCAUUUCUUCAGAGUAAUGAUUGACUACAGUAUCAACAAAAAUAGCUUUUUUCACUUUGAAGACAUAUAGAGGCUCCAUGUUAGCAGAAGCUGGAAGGCAAGGUUGGGACUUUGGCAGGUUUUUUAAAACAUUAUAUUUCUUCAAUGGACCUCCAUCCCCUGCUAAGGUUUGACAUAGUUUUGGUUGGAAUUUUUAUCUCAUCAUAUCAGCUAAUCUUUUAAAUUUUCAACUGGAACUUACUAUCUGUUAAGUUCUUUGAGUUUCUAGUUGAAAAACUAUCCAGUCAAUCAUCUAGUGAGCCAAAAAGCGUGAUGGACAGUCCUGGCAUUGUCCUGGUAGUUGGAGCUACUGGUGGUUUUGGCAAAAGUGUAGUUGACAUCUUAAAGAAGAAAGGACAGCAAGUCCGAGUACUUGCAUGUGCUCUUGCCGAAAAAUUUAUAUGUAGAAAGGAGAAGAGUCUGCUCACUUUUUCUUCCUCUUAUUUUUGUUUCAUAUCAAAAAUUUCUCAGGUCAGAAAUGAAGAGAAGGCAAGAAUGAUGUUGGGCUCAGAUAUUGACUUGGUGAGCUGGCAGCCGUUGUAAAUUAGCAUGAUAGUUGAAGAUAUCACUAAGGAAGACACAUUGGUCCCUGAGUACUUCAAAGGGGUGAGGAAAGUUAUUAAUGCUGCUUCUGUUAUUGUUGGUCCCAAGGAAGGUGAUACUCCAGAAAGGGCGAAAUACAGCCAAGGAAUCAAAUUCUUUGAACCAGAGCAUCAAAUAUUUUCGUUGUCGAUAUGUGGGGCUUUGUUUGAUUUAUGAAAGCAGAUUAGAGGGGAUUCACCUGAAAUGGUGGAGUAUGUUGGGAUGAAGAAUUUGAUUAACGCUGUAAAGGGGAAUGUUGGACUUUGAAGUGGGAAAUUGCUAUUUGAAUGUGAAGAAUUUUUCAACGCCUGAGGACCUUUCUGCAUAUGAUGGUUUGGAACUACGCCUUAAAGGUGAUGAUUGUUGGUAUAAACUUAUUGUUCGUACUAGCCGUGAUUGGGACGCUGUUGGUUAUACAGCAAGCUUCGACACUGUUGAAUGAUGGCAAUCAAAUACAAACUCACAUGGAGAUCAUGAUCUAGCUGAUUGCUGUUUUCCGACAAUAUUUGGUUGGAUGAAUUUAUUCAGUUCUUUGUUGGCUAUUGACAUCCCGUUGCUGCUGAAUUUAUGUGUGCUUAUGUAUGGUGAGGGAUGGCUAUGAAUGAUCCAAAUUCAGGCUGACUGAGCUAAUAGACUUGGAAGUAGGAAAGUGAUUUUGCAUCUAUCAUCAACACCUCAGGCCACAGCAAGUCCAGCGAAAAUAAUUUCCCUCUUUAUUUCAACCAUCUGGCUAGAAUUUGAAACUUCAGUGUUUGGAACUAUCUCAAAUUUUUUUGGAAACUUAUUAGCUUUAGCCUUUAUGACAGGGAGAAGACUUGAUACGUGAAAGUGGCAUGCCAUAUGCAAUUGUAAGGCCUUGUGUAUUAACUGAGGAGCCUGCUGGUGCAGAUCUCAUUUUUGACCAAGGAGACAAUAUAACGGUGGUUCAGCUGAAUAUUCUUUGUUGGCUGGGAGGGAGUUGCACUCUGAAAUUCAUUGAGGACAAGUGAUUGGUGUUGCCUCUGUUAUCUUUAACCAUUUUUGUGAGUAAAAUAUCAAGGGAAGAGGUUGCUCGGAUUUGUGUUGCUGCUAUGGAAAGCCUGUAUGCAUAGCACAAGACAUUUGAGGUUAAAAGUGUGAUUCCUUUCAGUGAACCAUUUAAAGUGGUUACAGGGAAUAUUUUAAAACUUUGAAAAAUGGUAUUACAGGGAAAGAAUACCUAAAACGAAGUCCUGUUCCAGUCUAAUUCCCAUAGACAAAAGGAUUCAACAAAAAGAAGCAGAACUACUGCCUAAUAUUCCAAAUAAGGACAUCCUUACCAGGAAAUAACAAAGAACAUAAUAUAUUAUCAUACCCCUACAAUUACAAAAUGAUGAAGCAGAGGUUUCUUGGGAAUCAUUAGGCGGGCUAGCAAGAAAAGAGAUACCAAGAAAGUUGAAACAGUUAGGGAUUAAUGUUGGAGUGAGUGUGUAGAAAAAUCUUGUCUUCAUAAACUAUUCAGGAAAAUAACCACACAAAAGCACAUCUUUUGUAUAUUCCAGGCUGUAUAUAAACCAAAUUUCUUGUCUCAUUUCAUCCGAUAAUUUGAAAUCGUGAAUGUAUCAUCUCAAUUCCAUGAAUUA